CGUCGCUACUACCGAUGGAUUAUUUAGUGAGGUCUCUGGAGGCACACCUUCCGCGAUUCCUUCGUGAGUUGCAGUUGGCACGGCCGAAGUUGACCGAACUUGAUGAUUUAGAGGAAGUAAAAGUCG
rnacentral:rRNA from 1 species